UGGGGAAUAUUGCACAAUGGGCGCAAGCCUGAUGCAGCCAUGCCGCGUGUGUGAAGAAGGCCUUCGGGUUGUAAAGCACUUUCAGCGGGGAGGAAGGCGAUAAGGUUAAUAACCUUGUCGAUUGACGUUACCCGCAGAAGAAGCACCGGCUAACUCCGUGCCAGCAGCCGCGGUAAUACGGAGGGUGCAAGCGUUAAUCGGAAUUACUGGGCGUAAAGCGCACGCAGGCGGUCUGUCAAGUCGGAUGUGAAAUCCCCGGGCUCAACCUGGGAACGGAAUUCGAAACUGGCAGGCUAGAGUCUUGUAGAGGGGGGUAGAAUUCCAGGUGUAGCGGUGAAAUGCGUAGAGAUCUGGAGGAAUACCGGUGGCGAAGGCGGCCCCCUGGACAAAGACUGACGCUCAGGUGCGAAAGCGUGGGGAGCAAACAGG
rnacentral:rRNA from 1 species